CAGCUUCCACUAAAAGCCUAGCCUUUGAUGGCUGCUUCAUAACUUUGUAUAACGUUGAGUUGGAUACAAAUAAUAGAACCCACUUAACUCUUUCUCAAGAUGUUAAACGAGCAGUUCCUACUUCAUGGAACCCUGCUGCCCUUGCUGAGUUCAUUCAGAAAUAUGGUACUCAUAUAGUGGUUGGCAUAAAAAUGGGAGGAAUGGAUGUGGUUCACAUUAAGCAGUUAAAAACUUCAGAUGCUGGCCCCAAUGAGAUGGAGACAUUGCUUCAGCAACUAGCUAAUGAGAGAUUUUCGGAAGAUUUAAAUAGAAGUUCUAAUGGAAAAACUGUUAAAAUAUCAGGAAAACUACAGGAUGAUCAGUAUAUGCCCUGCCCUGGGAACAGCAUUUAGCUCUCGCUGCUUCUGUUCGACCAAAUGUAACAAGCCACUCCAACAAUGAGGUUAGUGUUAUAUUUAUGACAGUUUGAAAAUGGUUUCUUUGCGCACAGUAUA